GGAUGACCGCUAGCGACAGGCUUACCACAUGCAAGUCGAGGGGCAUCGCGGCGGUGGCGACACCGCUGGCGGCGACCGGCGCACUGGUGAGUAACACGUAUGCGACCUGCCCCCUACAGGGGAAUAACCCGCGGAAACGCGGCCUAAUGCCCCAUAGUCCCGUCAGGCCUAUGCCUUUCGGGGGAAAGGUCCGCCGGUAGGGGAUGGGCAUGCGGCGCAUUAGCUAGUUGGCGGGGCAACGGCCCACCAAGGCUACGAUGCGUAGGGGCUCUGAGAGGAGUGUCCCCCACACUGGCACUGAGACACGGGCCAGACUCCUACGGGAGGCAGCAGUGAGGAAUAUUGGUCAAUGGGCGUUAGCCUGAACCAGCCAAGUCGCGUGAGGGAAGUAGGUCCUCAGGAUCGUGAACCUCUUUAGCCGGGGAGCAACGCGGCCCACGCGUGGGCCGGUGAGCGUACCCGGAGAAUAAGCAUCGGCUAACUCCGUG
rnacentral:rRNA from 1 species